rnacentral:rRNA from 1 species
AACGAACGCUGGCGGCAGGCCUAACACAUGCAAGUCGAGCGGGCAUCCUUCGGGAUGUUAGCGGCGGACGGGUGAGUAACGCGUGGGAAUCUGCCCUCAGGAGGGGGAUAACGGUUGGAAACGGCCGCUAAUACCCCAUAUGCCGCGAGGUGAAAUGAAUUUCGCCUGAGGAUGAGCCCGCGUCUGAUUAGCUAGUUGGUGGGGUAAAGGCCUACCAAGGCGACGAUCAGUAGCUGGUCUGAGAGGAUGAUCAGCCACACUGGGACUGAGACACGGCCCAGACUCCUACGGGUGGCUG